rnacentral:lncRNA from 1 species
UCCUUUUAAAAAAAAAAAAAAAAAAAAGAAGCCUUGGAGAAAAUAUGCCAAAAGAGGCCCUAGGACUAUACACACCACAUUCCAAGAAAAGAUCCAAAAAAGGAUUUGUACCUGGAGUGGAUUCUGGGAUGCAGUGUUUUGUGUAUUUAUAUCUGUUAUGAUAAAAGGACUACUCUGCUUUUUUCUCUAAAGAUACAUGAAGAAAAAUUCUUUGUGGGAUGCCUGGGUGGCUCAGUCAGUUAAGCAUAGGACUCAUGAUCUCAGGGUUGUUGGAUCGAGCCUUGCAUGGGGCUCUGUGCUCAGAAGGGAGCCUGCUUGAGAUUCUCUCCUUCUCCCUCUCCUUCUACCCCUCCCCCUGCUCUCUCUCCUUUAAACAAAUGAAUAAAUCUUUUUAAAAAAUUAUUUUCCCCACAUACUAGUCUCUUAUGUAUAAAAGUUGAUCAUGGUACCCACUGACCAAAACAAAACAAAACAAAACAAAAACUUAUAAGCAACUUCUUUUACAAAAUCAAGCUUGCUAACAGGUCCUGGUGUGGUAAGUCAGGAUUGUCAUUUCCAUAUUCAGGAAGUGCAAAGAAGCUAGGUUUUAGAGAGUGACUCGUUAUUACUCAGAAAGGCUGAGGUAGAGGGAAGGUGAGAAGCUUCCACUCAUCAGGAAAAUCUGAUGUGUCAGGCCUCACUACUAUUGUAGGCUGGUAAAAUAUACUUUGUGAAGUGUCUCUGCCUCAAGCAUAGGACACAGAACUUAGGACCUGCCUUGGAGAUCCUAAAGGAGCAAAUACGACCAAGGUUGGCGAAAUCCGUAUUUAAAGCAGGCGGCUAUUGGUUGAGUUACUGAUAUAAACAGUGUCCAUAGUACAGGUCUUAUAUUUCGAGUAUUCACCUUCAAAAUAAGAAUGUUUGGAGUCUCAUACAUAUUGCCUUUUUACGGUUCUGUGCUGAUGAAAAAGACACUGCUCUUUAAGGAGUGAAAGUUUUAAUCUUGGACUUGCUUCUUACUGAGUGAUACUGCACACCCUGAGCCUCGCUUUCCUCAGGGCAGGGGUGGAAAAUGGCAAAGUCCCCCUCAUAUAUUUCCCAAGGGCUGGUGAUGUUGAACUAGAGGCAGAGGCAAAGAAGUACUUACUGCAAACAGAAUCCAGGAACCUGGGUUCUAACAUGUCAAUCGAUUUGAAAUAAUCAACCGUCUCAGAAGACUAUAUCAUGUAUUUCUGAAUUGAACAAAACAAUACUUAUUGGGACAGUCAGUGUGGUCUUGUUGGGAACAA